AUCCGUGGAUAUCGGGUGCGCCGCCCAUCCUCCUCCGGCUGUACUCCUUCGCAGCUGCUGGCCGCGCACCGCACAGGCGGUAUCCUCGCUUCGUGUGCAGAAAAGCUCGCC
rfam:Faecalibacterium prausnitzii strain 2789STDY5608869 genome assembly, contig: SCcontig000001